CAGGUUGUACGGUUUAGGGUAAUGCGGUGCUUUGGAUGCGAUCCAGAUGGAGCGCCGCGGGGAGAGGUGGCCGUCAGACGCUUCUGGGAGUCGAUCCCGUCUGCAACUACAGCUCCAUGUGUAUGUAUUGUGCCAAGGAAAGCCGUCACGCCUGCCGUCAUAGUGUCCAGAGUUCCCGGCCCCCAGACCUACAAGCGGCGAGUGCAGAUAGAGCUUGACACCGUCACGUUGCAGCGGGGGACCGCCUUUCUACACUCAAAGAAAAAUAAGCUGAUUGUCCGGAGAGUCUAUCUCGACUUCGCUUCUCUGGCGAUAAACAUUCUCUUGGGCAAAGUGAAAGGUCGCAGAGGCAACGUCGACAACUUCAUCGUCGCGGGAACACCGGGCACGGGAAAGACUUACUUUGGGUAUUACUUACUCAUGCAGCUGAGGAACCAUCCGGCGUUUGUUAACAGGGAGCUCAUUUGGGAAGAGUCUACCAUCGAUGGUCCUGGCCUGAGCUUUUUCUUUCGAGGCAACGAAGUGGUGGAAGGCGUCGUGGGAGCAUUUGACUCGCGGCGCACGGAAGACACAGUCUUCCUCUGCAAUGGGCCGCUUCUGAGGCCACAGCAUACUCUCAGCCAAGUCGUCAUGUUCUCGUCCAACAAGGACGAAGCGAAGUUCACGAGGCAAUUUAUCAAGGAUACUGUCUGUGCAGUCGUUUACAUGCCUCUGUGGGAUCUAGGCGAACUGGCUCUCCUGUACGCAUCUGCUGGCCUGAUGAACAAUCCUGGGGAUUUCACGUCGCUGAAAGGACUGUUUGACUUUUGGGGUGGAUCUGCCCGGGCCGUGUUUGACACCUUCGACGAUCCAGAUUACGUCUCUCGGUUUGAGACUGCUUUGCGAAAUGCGAGGAAUCAUAAAGACCUGGACAUUGUGAUGGCUUUGAGACAGGACAGGGACAACAGCAGCUACAUCUUCCAUCUGAGGCCUUUGGACCCGGCAUAUAGAACGGCAGCUGUGGUUUAUGCAUCUUCCCACGUAAAGAAGACGCUGGAGGCCGCUAGAAAAAUGGAGAGUUUCAGACAGCUAAUGGACUACAUCAAGGAUAACAAGUUCAUCAUGGACAACGCUGUUUUGGUGGGCCGGAAGUUUGAGUACCUCGUACAUUGCCUUUUGGCGUCCACAGGGGUGAAGAAGCUCGAGUUUCGUUCGAGAAGAUUGGUCCACACUCAAGAUACUUGCAGUGGAGGCAGCAACUUGAAGUUUGAUUUCAACGGCAACGUUACUCUCUUCCGCAAGCUCAGGGAUAUAUCAGGCAAUCUAGGAUAUUACGUGCCCGAUUACCCGUCGUACCCUUGCUACGAUGCUGUGGGAAUACUGCGUGACGGAUCUGCGUUACUUCUCCAGAUUACUCGGAACGUCAGACACGAUGCGCUAAUGCAGUACGUUGAGGAUGCCAUGGAAAAGUUCAACGGGAAAGUUCAGUUCCUCUAUCUAGUUCCAGAUGAGAUGUUUGAUACGUAUCCGCCCCAGAGAUUGAUGUGGGGACAGACACAGAUGACCUGGCCUUGUGAAGUGAGCGUCGUGGGCAUUCCAGCGGACUUUCCUGUCAACAUUAUGCAUCAAAUUCCAUUGUUUGGUGAUGGUAAGCUUUUCAGCUCAUUUCAGUUAGCUUUGCAUGUGUUUGUUUCACUGCAGAGGAGACCCGUGAUAGUUCAGACGGCAGUAAGCGUCCGAUUGGUGCCGACGCGACCGACCAUGGUGGAGCUGCUAAACGUCCUGCCACUGAUGGAACCAAGCGUUUGGCUGAUGAUGCUGGACCGAGUGAGAUAUCUACGUAAUACCAAGCGUUUGGCUGAUGACGGAAGAACCGCUGUGGAGAACAGACUGAUCGAAAGCGUCUGGACGCUCGAGGAGCUUUGUGGUACACUACGAAGGUGGACAUCUUUUACCACUGGGACAUUCGUGACGGCUUGCUCGAGAUGCAAUAGCAUGUGAAAAGAAAUCUUUGUUUCUUGUAUUUUGUGCUAUGGACACAGACUGGAAUUCAUGGUCAAAAGGUAGAAACUUAUAUCCGAUCGACGAAGAAAAUCUCGUGAGCUUCGCAUCAUGAUUUCGAGUGCAAAUGCAUCCGAGUUCUCUGGCUUGACGCCGAAUGGACACGCCAAUCCUUUCCGCCAAUCCUUUCUGGACCUCAUCUGCAGUCGAGCACGAAUGUUGGCGUUGGGGAAGUACUGUUUUUCCAAGAUCUUAAAAAUUCCCUUUCUUGCUACCAGAGAAGAGGAAAGUGAGAGACCAGGCAGAAAGACAUUGUGGCCUUAUUUUCCUUUCUCCUAAGCCCUCCCCUCCUCUCCUUGGGCAGGAGCAUGAGAAAAUGAGGGUAGCCGUGUGGCCACACUAGCGGUAGCUGUUGUCACCAUGCCUCAGGCUCACGAGGACAGUAGUGACAAGGUUUUUGAGACAGAUCUGAAACGCCUAAGGAGGGGCUAGGGUUUAUGACGAAUGAAAUGCCGCGCCAACGCCUUUGCGAAUGUAGGGCUGGGAUUCCAUCGAUCGUGUUAUGGCGUGAGGAGGGAUUUCUUCAGCGAGGUAAGCGGUCCAAACGUGUUCACCUUCCUUGAAGCGUGCAGCACGGCGAGAGAGGUCGAGCUUGGCAGGAGAAUUCACGCUGCCGGGAUUGGAGAUCUUUCUAGCACCGCUGCCUGGGCAUGUGCUCGAGCUGUGGAAGCAUGGCGGAGGCUCUCAUGAUCUUUGAGAGCUUGGCAAAUCCAGGCUUGGCUCUGUGGAACUCUCUGGUGAUGGGAUACACAAAGAAACAGGGAUAGCAAGCUGGAUUUGGAGUUUUUCUUCGCGAUGGAUCCAUUCCACUUGCAACUGUCCCCACAUCAUCCUCUGCAUCAGCAGUGUGUCAUGGCUGGCUCUUUGAACCAUCACAGGAAAACCAUCACGAGGCACUCCCACAGCAUUGUAGCAAGAACUUAGUGAGCUUAGAGAAUCCUUGGAAAUGCAGUAUCCCGACUUCUUGGUAAUGAAUAAUGAUAUCCCUGAUCUUC